rnacentral:lncRNA from 1 species
UUAAGACUCAUCCAAAAGUUUUAAAAAUACAGACACUGUAUAUAAUCAACUAAAAAUAACCACUGCAUUUUUAUUUUUGGCAAAAGACAUAUAGUAAGAAGGAAAACUAUGYGGUUUAAUUUGCUCCUUGGUAUUACUUCUCAUAGUAUUUGCCAGUAAUGGCAACAUUAUAAUUUGUAGAAUUAAUUAAUGAGCUGGCAUCUGAUUUUGAUUCAUUAAUGCUUAAGCCAGCUAAGUCUCAAUUAUCCUCUGGACUAUUUAUUCCUUAACAAGCAUUUAGCUAAUGUGAUUUUAAAAAUAUGAAAAUAGGUCUUAACUUGCCUUUAAGAAGUAGUGCUAUUUUAACACUACACUUUAAAAUAAAAGACCCUUCGUAUUUUUCAUUCUAUUACAGUUAUAUUCAAAAUUAGACUUGGGGGUUUUCAAUGUAUUCACUAAAUAUAUAUUAUAUUUAUAUGUAUCUCUAACCUGACUUCAAUUUAGUCUUGAUUAAAAAAUGUACUGAAUUGGAAACUGUGUAAUAAAGGAUGCCUAAAUCAUACUGACCCAGAAUAGCUCGCUCGCUCAGACAGUUAGCAAAUAAGUGCACAAGCAAGCAGAUGAUACGAGAAUUCAAAAUUAAUUUUAUUCUCAGAGGAUGCAUAGACUAGGAGAUAGCAUCUGCCUCUAUCUGCAGUGGUGUAAAUCCAGAGUAACACCUUGGCUUGAGUCUCGUUACCCUGAAUUUGAUCGCUUAUCCUGCAAAUGAUCAGAAUUGGACUCUUCUAUGCCCAAGGCAAAUCUAUUGACCAGAAGUACUGCAAAGUAUCAAACACAAAUGGGGAGUGAAUGGAAGAUGUCAGUCCUAUCAGCGAAGCACUUUCUCAGCAGAGCUUGUAUUAGAAUUCCUAUUAACCCUUCUAUAGGGAGCCAAUUAAAAAGAUUCUCACAGACUCCAAGUGGUGAUAAAAGAAUAUGAAAAUUAUAUAACGUGGGGAAGAAAAGACACUGACCACAAAGACAACCUUAUGAUGAGUGGUGGUAAUAUGCAACAAUACUGCGACCGCCAGCUUUUAUGUUUUCAUGGUGUCCAAAAUUGUGAGUAAAUGGUAACUACUGCUUGGAGAUUUUCAGUCAUUGGUGGUGCACUCCACCUUUACAUUGCUGCAUUUUAAAGUUAUAUCCAUGUGCUUGCCCAUGGUCAUUUUAAGUGUGGACUGAAAUAUUUAAGAUAUAUGAUUUCUACCUUUUCUUACAAAAUUACAACUGUUUGUUUGAGUUACUGGUAUAGAUAGUUACAAACAUAAAAUGUUCAUGUGAGUGUAAUUCACUGCUUUUACCCACGAAGAGCAAKAUGUCCGCCAAUUUAAUAAAAAAGCAAAGUUCAUCCA